GUGGGGAAUAUUGGACAAUGGGGGAAACCCUGAUCCAGCAAUGCCGCGUGAGUGAUGAAGGCCUUAGGGUUGUAAAGCUCUUUCGACGGGGACGAUGAUGACGGUACCCGUAGAAGAAGCCCCGGCUAACUUCGUGCCAGCAGCCGCGGUAAUACGAAGGGGGCUAGCGUUGUUCGGAAUUACUGGGCGUAAAGGGCGCGUAGGCGGUCUUGUAAGUCAGAUGUGAAAGCCCCGGGCUCAACCCGGGAAUAGCAUUUGAUACUGCGAGGCUUGAGUCCGGGAGAGGAUGGCGGAAUUCCCAGUGUAGAGGUGAAAUUCGUAGAUAUUGGGAAGAACACCGGUGGCGAAGGCGGCCAUCUGGACCGGUACUGACGCUGAGGCGCGAAAGCGUGGGGAGCAAACAGGAUUAGAAACCCCUGUAGUCC
rnacentral:rRNA from 1 species